UCCAAUACUCGCCAUCUUACGCAGACCAAUGUGUAAUUUCGAUUCUCGACAAUUUUCCAACUAAUAUUCCUUGCAACGAGACUGGACCGAAUUGUAAAAUACUGAAAACACCUAUUUCUAGAGAAAGGCAGAGCGAUUAUAAUACGAUUAUAAUAACGAAAGGGUUAAGAAAGAAAUCUUUGAGAAAUAACUUUCCACCGCGCGCGGAAUGACGAUUCUCGACAAUUUUGGAACUAAUACUCCUUGCAACGAGACUCCGAAUUGUACAAUUUUCAUCAGAAAUCGCUCUCACUCCAAAGUAUGCUGGUUCCUUCAAUAACGAUCUACGAAGAAAACGAUCGAAGCGAAAAGCGGCGGCAACGGAUUGUUAGAGUUGGACGUAGUGGCGGGACCCAUAUACGCUUCGUCGUUACCGGUCGUUUGAAUAAUGCAUGCCGCAUAUAUCGAAGCCGAGUCGAGAUUAAAACGACAUCGGGGAGCCGGGCCGGGUUCUCCACGCGAGAAUCGUAUCGAGACACGAGUCUGCUACGAUAUCGUUCGCAGGGUCGAGCGAGAGGGAGGAGAGGGAGAGGAAGGAAGGCGUUGUUCGAGUGGCGUUGCCUGUUUGGAACUCGUUUUAUCGGGGCGACCCUCUCCGCCAAAGGACCGAAAGGUUGAUUUUAUUAAAAGAAUAUAUGGCUCUAUUGUUCUCUUGCCGGGCCGAAUGAGAGCAGCGGGAACGGCGUUUUAAUUAAGCCAGAUAGCGGUGAAACAGGGACGCAAGCUGCAUGGGGAACAGCCGGCCAAGGGGUUGAACAUAAAACCGGGGAUAAAAUUGUUUUUUCGUAUACGGUGGAAUCUGUUGGCCGAGUGGACACAGGGAUGUCGUUGAUAAGUGGUUUUCGGGGAUUGAAUGUCGCUUUGUUGGCGGCCAAGCUUGGUAAACGUUGAUCCAUCCCGUUCUUUCGGUAUCGUGGGAUCGUCGAUGCUUUUCGAGAAGGGAGGGGAUAUGCAAAUUAAAUGCGCGCCCCCGAUCCCGAUCAAUCCUUCCGUUCGAUAAUGAAUGCGGAGUAAUACGCGUAAUUGCAGUGACAUUUCCAGCGUAUGGUAAUUUCCUAGCCGGAGCUUACACAAGGAUUCUUGCUUUGCCGAUUUAGGAACGAGAGGACGUACACACGUACACCCCGUAAAGGGAAUAUUAUAUUUUCGAAUUGAAAUGGAAGCGAGCGAGAGAAGCGUCGCGUUUGCCAACGAUUCUAAUAAUUUUGUCCGCUAUCUGAACGCGAAAAAUGAACAAUUCUUUCCUUCUUCGCGAUGGAUUAAAAAAAGGGCACGAAAACUAAACGUUGUUUCAGAGGAUGAAAUUAGCAGGAUGGGACGCGAUCGAAGCGGAAAUCGAGAAGAAGGUACGAAAGCAAUACGAAUCUUCGAUGAAUACUCCUCUCGUUUAUGGGGAGGGGGGAGAAUCGAGAAUUGAAACGUUGCCGAGCCGUUGAGCGUAAUCAAGCUUACGAAGUCUGGCAAAUGAAUUGGAAAAUUGCCGUCUCAUCGGCGACGAGGGAAGCGCGAAUCGAGAGAAGGGUUUGAAUUUAACUACGCGAGAACGAUACAGCGGGGAAGGUGCGUCUCGAAAAGGGACACGUCUCUCUCUCUCUCUCUCUCUCUCUCAUUCUCUCCGUGGCUAUUCCCCAAAUGAAACCGAAGGAGAGUCGUUCCGUUAACGCGUAACACCACGAACGUUCCAACCUGAAAUUAAACGUCGGAGAAAUGGCGAUAACAUCUUCGAGCCACGUUCUCUAAUUCCUUCUCUUUUAUCUCGGUUUGCACCGUUGCUUCCCUCCCUGGCGAAAAAUAAUCGUGGAUAUGUGGAAACGCAACUGGUGGCCAUGAACAUGUGUUCCUUAACUUAUUGGCACGUCAUAACUCCGCUAUACGUUGCUAUAUAUUUUUCGUCGUUCGUGACGUGAAAUGGCGUAUUCUACGUUACGUUAUAUUACGUCCACGUGAUCAAAUGGAAAAGGAUUAAUCUCAAUUUACAAUUUUCCUAGAGAGAAGAUUUUGUUGUCUGGAAUAUCUGUUUCCAGUGUUUUUCCCAUUCACUUGAUCUAGUAUUAAGUUUCUUAACCUUCUUCCGUGAAAUUAAAUCUAAUUUGUAAUAAUACGAUAUCUUUUCAUCGAAGCUUCCAAGUUCGCCGCAGAAACACUAUCAUUUUGCAGCGCGCAGUUGACAACAGGACGAAAGAGUUUACAAUUUUUCGAAUUGGAAAAAAAAAAGUUCCGCCAACUCGACAGUGAUUGUUCAAGCUCUCAAAACGGAAUAUUUCAUCGACGAGUUUGAAUUUUCUACGUCUGUAAACGCACGAAUUCCUCCCUUCACCGUGAAAUAAAAAAUAAAGGAAAAAGAAAAAAAAGAUAGUCCCAGCGAACCAAUUUGGAAAACGAUCGUUCGUUUUCAGUUUCCUUUUUUUCUUUUCUUUUUUCUUUUCUCCUUAGAAAAGAAUCCCUCGACUCCUUAGAAAGAUUUCCUAAUUUACGUACGAAAUCGUGGCUCGUUUCGCAAUUUUCUUCGAGACGAAAAAUCGGGCGCGUCGAACCGAACUCGACGACUCGAACGCGGUGGCGGAAAUUAAAAUAUCAAAGGGUCGGCGUGAACAGCGCGCGUCGGUCGAAAAAAAAGGGGGAAAAAAAAAAAAAAAGAAAGAAAAAGAAAAAUGGACGAACAGGCCGAGAAUCUCGCAUCGGCGGGCCUGCAAACCAGUCCAGGAUUGUGGAAUAAAUUUUUCUCGAACCCGAUACUCCACAUCUUUGGCCCGAUCCCGCCGGCGAGAACGACUUUGAAAUUCAACCUCGUGAAUACUUGAAUAAAGUUCUAUACGACGUGAACCAUCGUGUCGUCCAGCGUCCUUUGUUGCCCGAUCUUUAUAUACACGCCUCUUCUUCGAAAUUGGUUUAUCAAUGAACGGGCUCGUAAAUUGAGAUUCCUCGAACAGAUUCACCGAUAUCUUUGAAUUAAUUAAUUCCACGAUAUUUUUCCCCCGAUGUUUUUCGGAUAUUUUUUAAAUUAAAAAAAAUAGAAGAAAGGAGAUAGAACAGGGUAAAUAUUUACCCUGUAUCGCGCCCCGGUGAUUUUUAAUUUUAAAAUACGUCGCAUUAAAUUGUGAAAGUUUCACUCGACAGUCGUUUAUUAAAAAAAAUUAUCAACCUAAGUUAAUCUAAUUCAAAUUUAGAAUUUUUAAUUUAACGUCCAAUUCAACUAGUUUUCUUCUAAAAAAAAAAAAAAAAAGAGAAAAAUAAAUCGUCGAGAUAAAUAAAUAAUUAUCCGAAAUUAUUCGUAUUGAAAGAACGCGAAAUACGAAGCGAUUAAUAAGAUACACGAUACGUAUUAACCCCAAUUAAACCGGGACUAAACGAUCCAUCAAAUCGUCGGAGCCGCAACUGCACGAACCGCAACUUUGAAUCAACGCCGACCCCUUUAACUCUACCGGGCUUAUCGGGGUAAGAAGAAGAAAGAGGAGGGAAUAAAGUGGACGAAGCUUAUCACGCGACGCGACAGGGCGACAUUCGCCCUGUGGAGAAUGGGAAAAAAGGAGGAAGGUUGAACGACGUGGUUGCAGCGGUGUCUUGUACAGGGCCGAUGAUAACAUCCGACAACUUCCGCCGGCUCUGGUCGAACGUCAGCGCGUUAAUUUUAUUCGAGAUAAAGCCUGGUCGAAGGUGCGACACCGCGGGCCCACGGGCCCGAAAUUUAUUUCACCGACAUCCGUCUCGUCGGUAAUACGUAUCUUCUUCUUCCUCCUCCUCUUCUUCUUCUUCUUUAACCGAUGCCGCGUCAACUUUGCCGAUCAUUAUGAUCCAUCACGCUUGUUCAAAGAUACAGGCCCCUAUAUCGCGUCCGACUCGUUUACAAUUAUCAUCCGUCAAGUGAAAGGGGUAGGAAAUCAACCGCGAGGAUGAAGCAUAUAUUUGCUACAAUGUUUCGAUUUGAUUAAUUAUGUACGAUAAUAUUAUUUGAUGGGGGAGACGGGUCGAGAUAGAUUCGAUAUAAAUCGGAUGGGACGUUGCUACAUUAUUUGCCUCUGGUUAAUUAUAUUAAUAAUCUCUCGAUGGAAGAUAUUCGGUGGAGUCUUCAGGAUGUCUUGUUUCUCUGUUGGGAAGUCGAUGGAUGUAUAUGAAACUCUCUGCGUAAUGAAUUCCGAUUAACCUUAAAUGACGAUGAUGAUGUAAGAUACGUAAUUUGCGAUGGCCGAUAUAUCUUCUCGUUAGAUAUCAAAUUUUCAAGAUUUUUCACAUUUUAUUACAAGUAUAUUUCUUUCAACUACUACGUAACGGCGAUAACCAAGUUGCAUAUAACACACGUUCCUCGCAAUAAAAAUUCGCAUUUUACAAUCUAGGUCUUGCUCCAUUAACGACAAAAAUUAUCGAAUCUCGGAACGGUUGAAAUUUGAAGAGGAAAAAGGAGCAUCCCGUCACCCCGUGGCCGGCUCCACGGUGCACCAACGUGCCAGGGUAUAUUAGAGCCUCGUCCUCGCGACUUUUACGAUCUCUCAUUCUUUCCCCGCAAAUGUAGCGAUACUAACUGCUCUCGUCAUUCCUUCCUUCCUCCUCUUCCUCCUCGCAUCCUCCUCUUCCUCCUCAGGGGGAGACCUGCAUCCCGGACUUUUAUGCCGGAGUUUAAAUAUAUGGCUCGAUUAUUCUUCUCGCCGUGGCGCGGAAACUUUUCGAAAAGGUGGGUGGGGGGAGGGAUCCUAUUAAAGUGGCGGCCGCGCAAGUAUUCACCGCGUAUAUCGAGCGAAACGUUUCGAUCUAUCAGUCCUUAUCAUCCAUGCUACACACAUAUAGCGAUCCGCGAGAUUCCGGAGAACGUACGAGGAGGUACGAGGCAUGGAAUAAAUUCGGCCAACUACGAGGGGAGAGGGAAUAAACGCCCCCUGUACGCCGACCAAUCCUGUUUAAAACUUCGAACCGCACGCAGCUAACGCGCUGGGAACACGCGAACUUUCCCAACUUGUUCUAUCGAUUCUUGUUAAAAGGAUAAGAUGCAAGGCGCGCCCUUUUUUCCCCUCUUUGCGGUUUCUUCUUUUCGGAAAAAAUUCACUUUGUUUCGGAACGAAAUUUUGUUGGUUUGGAUUAUAAGUUUGAUUACCGUUUUUGUAACUUCGAGGAUAGCAAGUGGCCGAUAAUUAAAAGCAUUGAAGCUUGCACUUUAAAACGGUUUUUCGAGAUAUCGUCGUGUAAAGAAAAGAAUCAUUUUUAAUCAAUUACCUUAAAACUGAUCGAAAUCCUAUUGAAAUUUAGAAAGAUUUGAGUCGCUAUAAUUCCAAAGAUAGUUACUUCCGGUGAACGAAUGAAAGAUCGUUAGAAUCGUCGAACCUUCUCCUUUAAAACGCUUUUUCGUUUAUCUCGAUACGACUUCCGGUUGCCGAGUUAUCAUCGUGCAAAGAAAAGAAUAAUUUUUAAUCAAUUACCUUAAAACUGAUCGAAAUCCUAUUGAAAUUUAGAAAGAUUUGAGUCGCUAUAAUUCCCAAGAUAGUUACUUCCGGUGAACGAAUGAAAGAUCGUUAGAAUCGUCGAACCUUCUCCUUUAAAACGCUUUUUCGUUUAUCUCGAUACGACUUCCGGUUGCCGAGUUAUUAUCGUGUAAAGCGAAAGGUAAUUUUUAAUCGUUUAUUAUCUCCUUCCCAGUUCUUUCUUAUUCGGAUCUCUCGCUCGCGCCUCGCCUCACUGACCUAUCCCAAACUCGACAAGCGACAGACGCGAUUCCUGGAAGAGCGUAAUGUGCGCGUUUCCAGGAAAAUAUAUAGGUCAGUGGGCCACGAGCCUAUUCGUAAAUAUUACGCCGUCUUAAACGCUAUGGACACGCUUCGAACGCUUAUAUCUCAGCGACCGAUUGAGAUAUCGGGAUAAAACGAAAAAGGACUUCAACGGCGUGAUUUUCUCAAUCCCCUGGAUAGAUUUUGGUGAAAGAAUUUUUUGUUUCUUCUUUUGUUACUUUUUCCUUUUUUAUGAAAUUUCAUUAUUUAUUACUUCGUAUGAGUAUAACGAAUUUAUUAAUCGAACGUUUGAACACGUUAUAGGGUUAGGUAAAGAACCGAUCGUGAUAUUAAUUGGCGUUUUCUUUUUUCUCAAAUUUUAAUCGAUCGGUUUAUUCGAAGAAAAGAAAAAUGAUUCCAAGGUUCUAAAUAACACAGUUGCAAUAUGCUCCGGGGAAAUACUAUUGGCAAGGAAGAAACACGAGCAGGGAAUCUAUUUGCGAGCGACAUUGCUGAAUCGCGGGGAAGCGACGUGAAAAUAGGAUAUGCCAUAGACGUGAAACAUCUAUGGGGAAGUAGAAAAAGCGAAUUGGGUCGCGGAGGAUGAAGGAUACCGGUAACUUUAAAUCCCUUGAAGGCUACGACGAAAACUGGUUGCGCAACGAAUAUAGGAAAAAACGUGGUAAGGACAGAAAAUUGGGCUGCCGACGAUACUUUUCGAAAACUUGAAAUCCUUCAAGAAAAUCGCGACCGAAGAAAUAAGAACUGGUCCGCAACAAACAACGGGGAAAAAAGGAAAAUUGAAAUUUGGCCUUACAACACCGAUCCUAGAAACUCAUUCUACCCAAAUUUUCUCAAAAAGAAAAUCUGCACGUUAAUAAACGAUACAACAAAUUUCCAAACAUUAAAUCCCCAUCAAAAACCCAUGUUCCUGAUCAAACACAAAAUCAAUCUCUCCAAUCUUUCCCCCCCGUUUUCGUUGGAAAAAACAUCCAUCCUUCAUUGUCUCUAUUCAAGGCAUCGUGAUACGACCGAGUCGAUUCGGCUACAGAUCUACGCCGCUCGCAUACGUGGAGACUCUGAAACCUCUCUCUCUCUCUCUCUCUCUCUCGAGAUAGAAGGAGAAUAGUCGUCCUUGCCCGGAAAAAUUGCGCGCAGGAUCGCGCGUGCACACGGCCGCGCGCGCGCCAAUCUCUAAUCUCAUUUUCCUGAAAAAGGAAGCACCCCCCGGACGUUAUAUUCCGUACACAUCCUUAAACAUGACCGCCUGCAGCGCGCCGCGAUCAUGUAUUAUGCAUUUGCCAUCGUGAAGCGCGUACGUGCGGCACUCCGCGCACUGCGCGCUCCUCGGCUAAGUGAACUCGCCUGGCGUUCUCGCGCGUGUUCAUACGCGGCCGUUCCUACACGUGCCUGCCGUUACACGUGUGUGAGUGUGUAUUCACUUUCUCCGGCACGGAAAGAAGAGGAAAGAGAGAGGAAAAGGGGCGAGGAGGAGGAAGGAUUGCUCGGACGAUGCAGUCACCGUCGCAAACUCCUCUUUUUCCGACUUUUUUUCUCUCCUUUCUUCUCUCUCUUCUCCACUCUGCAGUUGGAGCAACUCGAAUUCGAAGAAGCGGGGAAACGUUCAGGGGUGGGAAGUUUCGGGUUUCGUGGGGACGCGGGCAGAAUUUGCGGGCUUAAGCCGCCUUAUCCGCGGCGGAGGAAUACGGAAACGAGCGGAAUAGUUGAAAUUUUCGGGUGAUAAGGGUGAUAGGCGACGUGGGCGCGUUGACUUUGACGAUGGAUUCUUUUGGAAGGAAGGGGGAGGGGUGAAAUGCUCCUUGAGCUUCGAGUCACGAAAUAUGUGUCGCGGAAUCGGAGGGAAGAAGAGGGGAAUAACUUUGAAUCCAAAUCGUCGUCCAGUUUUAUUUAACGUACGCUACGCUCUUCCUCUCUGAAUUCUCGAAUGAACGGAUACUUUUUUUCGAAUUUAUUUUCAUUUAGGAAGUUAAAAAUUCCAAGGGAAAUUUUAAUUGGGCAGAAUUUUUUCGCGAAAGUAUUAUUGGCGAGAGUGGCCACGAUUAUUUUUCAGCGAAAAUUUCGUAGAGUAACGCUCUUUUAUUCCAUUAGAAGAUACAAUGUUUAUACACGCAUAACGUGGAAAGGAGAUUAGAAAUAUUUGGACGAAGGGGAAUAAAUAAUUGUCUCUAGUUUUGUAUUCGUGUCCCGUUUAAUCGCGAUGCGACGAUUUGACGCGAUGUGAACGAGAUCGAGGAUCCAUCCUCGAUUAAUUCGAGCGCGUAAAGGAAAAAGAAAAAGAACCGAAGACAGAGAUUGGAUACCACGAAAAGGGCUGGUGUGGUGUACACCUGUGGUAGCCACGGUGGAUAACCGCGAUUCUGAAACUCGUAAAACACAUUACAAAGAAGGGGGUAGGGGGAGGGAGUGGGCGGACAGAGAGAGAAAAGUUGAUAGGGAGCGUUUUCAAAGUCCGCGAUAAAAACGUAAAUUGACUAAGGACAAGACAAAUUGCCUCGAAUCGGGUCAAAUCCCGGGCUCGCCGCUUUAACAGGUGAAAUGGUACUUAACGGGUGUUCUGUCGGGAGGGAAGCGUUGGAAGCGUGGGCGGCGGGGGGAAGAGGUUGAAAUAAAGAUUAAACGACUUCAUGGAGCGAAUGAAACGCGAGGAUAAUUUCAUUCGAAAGUCAUUUUCCUCCAGGAACGCCGUCCCUGACAAAUUGCUGUACAAGUUUAAAACGAGAAACCAAUUUUUCCAACGUAAUCUCCCCACUUCUUUUCUCUUCUUUCCUUUCCUCCCUUUCCCCCCUCUCUCUUGUUUUUUUUCAACAAUAACACAUUGGAAAAUGGGAGAUGAUCGGGGGGGCGGCGAUAUUCGCAAAUUCGCCAAGCGUGUUAUUUCUCGGCGGAAAGAGAGGCUAAAACAUCGUAUCCGACCGGGUAUACGACCCUCGUACAACGUCUGGUUGAAAGGAAACCGAUGACAGUCGGUGAAACUCAAAUCCCAGGAUCCCAUAACGUCAAUCUCCAUUUCACCGGAGGUAGGAACAAACGGCUGCGGCGAAGUUACUCCCCGGGUAAAUAAAAGAAUCCGCAGAAAUCGUAGUUUCCACAUUCGAUUCUCUCUAUUUGAUGUACUCGAAAUCGUCGAUGGGAAGGGGGACACGAUGGGGAACUUUCGAACGCGUAAGUCUCCCCGAACGCGUUGUCUCGAGCAGAGGAAACCUCAAAAUCGAUCGUGGAAACUUGACGAUCUCUCUCUCUCUCUCUCUCUCUCUGCGUGUACGGGAGAUAUACCUGACGAACAGCUGAUUGAGUUAUUUAGGGAAAUGGAACGAACCUCUCGAACGAUCGCGAGUCAUUUCGCAGCUCUUGAACGGUAAUGAUCGAAAUUACAACUGGUCCAAUUGUGCACCGGAUGAAAUUUCGAUCGCGUUUAAUCACGGACUAGAAACGACUAUUUUGCUAUUUUAACUUGUUAUCAUUUUUUUUUGGGAUUCGAAAAAUCCUCGUCCACAACGAAAAAGAGAUAUUUAUUACCCAUCGAGCUUGACCGAUCGAAUCCUCAUUUGGAUGCGCGUAGUUUCGCGAAUUUUUAACCAGCGAAACAACGAAAGCAAACCGUUAUUGCAACCGAUAAGGUAAAGCACGUUUAUAAUUUCGCGUUUAUUUAAUAGGCUGGCGCGAUAUAGAUUGCCGUUCGCAACGUAAUGCGAAAAUUAUUUUCGCGAUCUCUCCUCCACUGUUUAUCCUUGGAGAAGGAUAGGGGAGAGCGGCCGUUCUCGCGCUCUGGUAUCUGUGCUCUCGUAUAAUUAAUGUAGCUUAACGCGGCGCAUACGGUUGUUUGUUGGCGGAAAUUCUCAUUUAAAAAAGAAGGCGAGAUAUGAGGCGACCGGUAGAUAGGAGGGCGUCGCGUUCCCCGUAUAAUUGUACGCGUCCGGUAAGAAUGAAUAAUACACGUCUAAUUUCGCUAAUAAUAACGCAUAGCACGCCGCCACCCCCGCCCUUUGCCCAUCGGGGAAACGCUGUUUAAUAUUUCACGUACCGACGCGUUCGUUUCAUCCCCGGAUUCCCCGAGCUCCUUUUCCAUCAGGAUGAUCUCGAGAACUUGACGCGUUGGUUUCGAGUCGGUUGCCUCAAUUGGGAGUUGAUUUGUGCAUAUUUUUCAUCUUCUUUCCGAACUCUUUCCGAGUUAAAAUUUUCGACCUCUUUCGAACGAGAUUGUUGAUCUUCAAAAUAUCCACCUGGCAAGAUACCUAAGUAGAAUAGAAUGAAACGGUUCCUCGACGAGAGGAACGUCAAUUUUCACGCCCUAGAUCGAAUACGGUCGUCUAAUUCUAAUCCAACAUCCCGUAAGGGACUUUUAACGAGCGAUCCAUUCCAAUCCACGGUACUCGUCGAGGAUAAUUAGCUAGGUAGAAGUGUUUAUCGCGUUUCUCCAGUCCAUUUCGAUGAAUAAUUUGAAAUGCAACGAUGGAAGAAGAGCGAGCAAGUGGCCGUUCGAGGCAACUCCAAAGACAGAGAUUACGUUUUCGAGCUCGGCAAGGCUCGGUUGAAUUGCAAAUAUCUCCCCUCGCCGUGUACUCGCCUCGAUAUUAAUACAGUGGUUGGCGACGAUGCACGGUAAUUCCGGCCUCCAUUCGCGACGAAAUUAGCCAUCCUCUUUUAUCGUAUCGAUACACCCGAAAACCUAUACCGCAAUGGAGCCUGGAAGAAGCUCUUGAGAAACUUGGGCGACGAGGGCCUUAAAGUUAACCCUUUAAUAGUCGCGCCGUAACUCGAAAGUGGAUUACGUCGGUAAUCCGCCGGUUUUUAUGGAUGGAUUUGGUUAGCUAGGUUUUCGUCGACGAUGUUCCUUGGAUGCCCGUCGAGUCUUGUUUCGAAUCAUCCAUUUUACGCGCUGGGUUAGCGAGGAAAAUUCAAAUUCGACAGGGUAAUAUCGUUGGUUGCUCGAAUUUUCUCUUGACAUCAUAAUGAAAAUUUACGGUACGUUUAUAAGUUUCGAUUCGCCGAGCUAAUCAACUCCGAAACUUCUCGAGACGAACGAAUCAAGUGUACCGAAUAAAUUGAAUUAAAACGAAAGCGAAAGGAUGCAAAAGGAUUGGUUAGAAAUACGAACACCUUUAUCCAAACCUCGAGCAAACCGGCUCAACGUUGAUCGAGCGAUCGAACGGAGUCGGCAACCGUUCAUAAUCCCCGACCCUCGUCAUAAUCCCAAUUCUCGUGGAAAAAAGAAAAGAAAGAAAGGAAAGAGGAAGAAGAAAUGGUAACCGAGAAAUAAAGGUCGAUCGCGUGGUUCCGCAACCGAGGCGGCAAAUUGGACCGCAAAGCGUGGCCAUUACGUGGGUCCCAAAGUCCCCGAAGAACCGCGGCCGAGGACAUUGUCGAAAAUAGUUACGCAAUAACCGGAGCGGGAUCGAGCCGCAAAGGGUUAACGGCAGCCAGGUCUUGAGCCAGGUCCCCGAAGAACCGCAACCGAGGGGUGGACGUGCCCCCCUUCUCUCUCGCGACAUUCUCAUUUCCUCUCUCGCAGCCGUCGUUCCACUCGCGAGGACAGGAUGCGCCGAGUUCCCGCGGGGCGCCGGUUACGUCGCCUCGUAAAUCCAUCCACGGCGAGUUUCUGCGACUCUUCGAUACGAGGACGAAGGUUGCGAGGAGGAGCGUUCGAGGAUGAGAAGAUCGGACGAGAUCGGUGGAGUAAAACGGAGUAUUUUGCUUUGCUUUGUCGAAAGGAAAGUUUUAUUCAUGGAGGAAUUUAUAGAUUUAUUUAUUUUUGAUCGAAGUAGGUGGAAUAUGGGUAUCGAAUAUGUAUAACCCUUUGCGGACGAGUAGUAUUGAGAUUUAUUUUUUUCAAGUUGAGCUUAUUCUUGGAGGAGUGAUUCUUUGUCGACUCGAUAUUGUGGAUGAUUUUCCUUUUUCAGUUCGAUCGUUAGAUAGAUAUAAGAGAUUAACGAGAUUAUUAUUAUUGAGUAUUAUUUAUAUUGGAAUUUUGUUCAAUUUUUUUUUUUUUUUAAUUAGGUUGGAUCGUAUAUCAGAAUUUUAGCCAAAGUUUCUUUUCGAAUGAGACCAAUGUGUGAAUAAGAUAUGUUGUUAGGAACAGAAGUUAUGUAAUAGUUUGUCAGAUAUUAAUCGUUUUUAAUAUUGAAUUGUUAUAUGACAAGAGGGAUUAUAAAUAAAGUAAUUCAAUCCAUUCCCAGAAAUGAAAAUUAACAGGGUGUUUUUUCACAGGAGUACAGAUUUUUCUAUUAAAAUUUCAUUCCGUCCAAUAUUUUCUCAAAUUAAAAAUUCACUUCAAUCCACUUCAAUCUCCCCUUACGGAUUUGCAUUACAGUUACGCAUAUAUAUAUAUUUUUUUAUUCAACUGGAAAAUAAUAUAUUUCGCGACGUUUAAUGAAAAGUUUACGGCGUUUAUAAAUCUUCCUCCUAGCGAUCCUUCCUAGCGAAAACAUCUUCCCUCGAUGAUAAAAUUCGAAAAAUUCAGGCCGAUCAAACUUGCAAGGCCCUUCCUCUUCGAGCCACUUACGAGGGUUGGAAAAUCUCGUCUCGCGAGACUGGACCUCUUAAAGGGGAGAGAGAAGAAACGUCCUUAAGAAAGAAGAAAAAAAAAAAAAGGAAAGAAAAGAAAAGAAAAAAGAACGAUCGUAGUCGAAACCGGCGCGUGGCUCCGCUCGACCCUCAGUCAGCCCUCCACGCGGCCGAGAGCACCCCGGGGCGCACAUCAAAAGUUCCGAGCGAAAAGUACAAAUGCGCUUAAGGAACUUUCCACUCCCCUCCGCACCACCCUGCCAAAGAUUCCGCCGCCCUUGUCCGCGAGACGCUUCCUCGGACGGAAUCCUAAGAAUCUCGUUACGAUAUUCCUCCCCGAUCUUUUGUCCUCGAACGUGUUAAUCCACUCGCGAAUCCGAAUUAACGGCUCACCGACCAACGAAGGGGGCCCCCGCCGUUAAUUAAAUUUCUUCGUGACGUCGCGAGACGACGUCCCCCCCUUCCACCGAUUACCUCGAAGUCGUCUGUUCGACGUUGCCCGACAUUUUUGAGUAAAUAGAGUGAGUACAGAGUUAAUUCCACGACGUCCCCUUUUCCGUGUUUGUCGCCCCGAGGCUGGUGUACGAGAAUGUAUUACGAGAAGGAUCAUCUUGGAAACUCUUCUCUUCUCGCUCUUCCAGCUGUAUGUUAAACUUUGUGAUCUGUGUUUCGAGGGAAUAAGACGGGGCGUGCCACCUUUGAUUAAUCGGAACAAGGAAACGGGGAUAGGGGAAACAAUUAUUGGAAAGAAAGUUAGUUUCACUUUCGUUUUUAAUCGUCGCGAUAAAAAAGAAGAAAUCGCAGAAAAUCGAUUAUCGAUCCUCGGGCGCAGAUUCGCUUGAUUUCCCGGUAAAUCAUCCCAUGCUCGCUUCCAACAAUCGCGUUGCUCUAUUUAUAAAUCUAUUUAUAAAUCAAGUGGGAGCCGUUUUUUAAAUUAAAUUAAAUUCGAUCUCGCACACGCGGUGUACACGUGGCAACAACGGCCGUGAACAACUGGAAUCGUUGCGAAGAAAAUGAAACAGAGAGAGACAGAAAGGAGAGAAAAAGAAGAGAAAGAGAACGGACGAAGAUAGGCGGAGACCUUUACCGAACGGAUUAUUCCACCCUAAAUCGUGUUUUCGGCUGAAACAUUGGCAUUCGUGGCCGUAAGCCAACGCAGUCAGACACACAGGGGGAGGAGGGGGACACCUGCGUGGGCAGAGAGGGGUUCCGCUUCUCCCCACGUUUUGUUGCUCGAUAUUUGUUUUCUUCUCUCUCUCUCCCCCCGUCCUCCAUCCACCUCCACCUCCCUAAUGCUCUCGGCGCACAAAGAGACGCGUAUAUCUCUUCGAUAUCGACUGGAAAAAAUCGUUUCGAAACUUUCCUCUUUACCCUUUUAACCUUAUAUAUACACGACCGUGCCGCUGUUCCCUCUCUUCCCGCUAAUGAGUUUCGUAAUUUUCCUCUUGUUAACGAGUUUUUAAUUUUCUCUCUUAAAUCUAUGAGCACCGAUCCACUGGACCCACCCAACCAGACCAUCCAGACCAUCCUCGAUACUAAUAUAUUUUUCAACCGAGCCGCGCCGCCUCCUUCCUCUUCCUUCCUCCUUCAUUCAGGUUAAUUACAAAAUUUCUCCCAGCUACCGCCCCCACCUACCCCCUGUUUAUUCACUUUUGAAAGAAGUUUCCUUUCAGUUUCUUCCGCUCGCCUUCAUUUCCCCCUCUUUCCUCACCUAUGAUCUCCUCACUUCCUCCCAGUGUCGUUCUUUAAAUAUCUAAUGGAGGAAGAAAUAGAAUACUCGAGGACGUAGUCUAGGACGUAGUCUAAGAUACCACGAGGAGAAAAAGGAGGAGGAGGCUCGUUUAAAUUGGCUCCUGGAGCCGAGGCCGUGAUUUGCCGAAAAUUUGAAUUUUCGAGAGAAAAUCGGCGCCGGUUGUCGUAUAUUCGGCCCGGUGUAUCCGGCCGUGAUUUCAAACGAAUUAAUAGCCACGUCGAACGAGGUUACGAAAAGCGAUUCCGAUUUUUGUGUUUUUACACGUUUGGCGGGUGACGAAUGAAUUCCGUGAAGAGUAAAUAAAAGCCCCGAUUCGGCCGGCUUGUAUUGUACGAACACGUUUCGAACACGUUUCGAACACGCCCGAUGCGCGAGAUGCGCCUGUGAAAUCUUUUCCCUUCAAUUUGUUUUUUUCCUUUCUUUUUUUUCUCUUUUCCCCCGCGAAACAUCGAUUUUUCAAUUUUGGGAACCCGGAAGGGAUUCAUCGGGAUUGGAAUAUUUCUUUCCACCGAAUUCGAGGGAAAAAAUAGGGAAAGGGGGAAGAAAAAAAAAGGAAGAAGAAUCGGGAGUUUCUUUGGAAAACGAUACCACACACGAUGAACGAAACAUUUUGGGAAACAUUUACCAAACACCUUUCUCGGUCGUAUCGAACGACACGGUUUCUCCCCGUUCGAACGACACGUUCCACUAUCGUUCGAUGGAAUAAAUCCCCGAAUGGAUCGUAAAAUCGGGCCGCCGCAAAUUCCGCUUUUUUUUUUUUUUUAAAGCGUUCGAAUGGACACUAGGACUCACGGAUCGUAAAAUGCCCCAUCCCCUUUCCAAAUUUCUCAAGUUUCAAUCAUCUGAAGAUCGGUCGAUAAUUGGGUAAUUUCGAUAUAUAUAUAUAUAUGUCCGAACGAAUCGAUAAAAUCGAUAAAAAAAUCGAGUCGAAUGCGAAAACGUGUAAAGAUCGCGGGUGAUGUUGAUGAUGAUCGGUGAAGGGAUUGGCGAAUGAAUUGGUAAAAUUGAAAAUUUCUCGCGCGAGUCGCUUGUGGAAUUAGAAUUUUCAAUAUCUAGCUCGGUUAUUCCCGGGAGAGGUGUGAAGGAUUUAUUCAUUCGACAUGCGUUAACCUUUUCGAAUGACAUCACUGACGUGUCAUGCAUUUUACAUACGAAAUUGAAAUAGAACAACGUGGCAAAGAAGUUGGCCAAUCUUUUGUUCCGUUAUCGAAAUAGAGAGUGGAAUAUGUAAAAUAUGUCCUCGAUAAUCAUUUUUCUCUCGGGCCACGAAGUGGCCACUUCCGGCCCAAAGAAGCGUUCCGCGAUAUUCAAAGCGUCCCCGUGUAAUUUUAUGAUGGAAAAUAAUUAUCAAAAUUCCACCGGCAAAAAUAUUCUACGAUAUCGAGAGAAUAUUUAACGUAUCCUCGAUAAUUAAUUCUUUUAUCAAAAAUAUCACGAAUUUUUUCGGUCUACAAAAUGGUCCUCCGCUUUCGUCGAAAGUUCUGCAACAUUUAAAGAAUAAAAACAUUUAAAGACGUCUAUAUACGCUUAAUUAAUCACUUUCCUCGUCGAAUCGAAUUCAAAAUUCCGAUUCACGUUUUACGAAGACCUCUUUCCAAUUUCCACUAUACCUCGUUUUUCAGACGCGGCCUCUUCUCCCGUUUCAAGAAUAAUUAUUUUUCCACGGGAAAUCCGGUUUUCCACGUAUCAUCCAUUCGUAGAACGUGGCACGUUCGAACGCGUGUCGCGAGAAUUAUAGGCAGCGUCGCGACGAGUAUAACGAGGGCAUUCAUCGCGACUCGCGUCAAAUUUCCCAUCGAGCGUUGGGUGAACGCGUCACCCAGUUGCGAAACUUUGCUCCGCUGGCCCCUCGUUAAUAAUUUGCGGAUCCACCCCCACUCGAUCGUCCGCUUCCCGCGAUACGCUUCUCGCCUGCCCCGUCGCCUGCAGUUUCGCCGUCAACUUUCUAAAAAGCCACUCGACGCGGGCUGCAAAAAGCAGUUUCCGCGCCGUGCACGCUCUUGUCCAACUUUUAAUAACCGGCUCGCGGAAAUCACGCGUGAAACGACCCGUUUACCGCCUCCGCGUUACACGCCUUCGAACAGAUUGACCGAGUUCCCCUCUCCCUCGCUCUCCACGGCUUCUUCCCUUUCGUUUUUUCGAACGCUUAUAUUUUUCCUUUCAGCUUUUCUCUCCACUUUUUUUUUCUCUUUCGGUUCGCCCACGUUAUUUUCUUCUUCUUUUUUUUUUUAAGCUUCGUGUAGUUUCUUCUAUGCGGAAAAAUGCGGAGAAUAUAUAUAUAUAUGUAUUCGAGAUUCUGAACACGUUGCGUGUAAGCGCAUUAGUCGAAGCGAGAAAAGACUAUGGGAUAAAGAGAGGGUAGGAUAAGUUGAGGGAAAUCGCGGAAUGAUAAAAUCCCACGGUCACCGUGACAGAGCACGUGAAAAAUGUUAUUUCGAAAGUCGAACGAUUAUUAUCUUUUUCCUUCUUCUUUUAAAGAAAAUAACUUAAUUCUGUUUAUUUUAUUUAAAAUUUCUCAUUGUUUCUCCAAACUGUUGAACGAUAAAGUAUAAUUCUUAAAGCGAAAUUAAUUAAUUAAUUAAUAAAAAAGAAAAAUUAACGGAUUUGCAUUUUUCAUCGCGAACCAAUAAAGUUCAGAGCCAAUAAAGUUCUUACAUAUAUAAAAUCAAACCCCUUAUCGUGUUCCCGAUCGUGUCACGCAGCACAUCCUUCUCCUCCUCUCCCCUCUCCCCCCUUCCUUCUCGAAAAAUCUCAAUGGCCAAGAAGUCAACCGCUAUCUAACCCCCACCGUUAUCGCCUCGCAUCGAAGAUCGAGGCUAAUCGCGACGAUCGAAGGGGUGGCGCCACCCCUCUUCUCCUCCCAGCUCCCUCUCCCCUCGAUCAACCGCAAAACUUUCAGCCGCCAUUGUACGCGCUUUGGUGAGAGAUAAUUUAUGGACGAGGCGGCGACCGCAGACUUUCCAAGAUCGAGGAGGCUCGAGAAAUAACGGAGAGGAAGAGAGAGAGAGAGAGAGAGUAAGAGGGAGAGAGAGACGAGGGGAGAAGGUGGACGUAAGUGGAUCGAGAAGGUAGGUAACGUUGCCUCGAAGCAUGUAUCGUAAACUGCUAGAACUUUGCCGAGACUUUGGAAGUAGCUCGCAGAUAUUAUUGAAGCCCUUCAAGAUUCCGGAUAGACGUGUUCCACCGCUGAAUAUCGUGCUUUGUAUGUACAGGGUGUUCCCCGCGCUCGCGAGGAGUUUGGUGUUUCAUCUCGCGGGGAAGAAUGACGAGAGCUUCCGCCACACGCGAUAAAUCACGGCCACCCUUUCGAAAGCGCGCUUCCGUGACCUUAUAAUAACGCUCCUCCGUUAUUUGGUAUAUGGGAUUAUUGAUUAUUUAAUUGGUUAAUUUGAAUGGUGAUUAUUAGAUACCCGUGGAGGAAUUUCGGUGAAGAUGAUAUUUUUUGACGGAUAACAUGUUGGGAAAAAUAAAUUGAAUCCGAUUCCGAGAAAGGAGAAGGUUCUGAAGGUUUUCAACUCGAAGAAGUUGAAAAACAAAAAAAAAUUCUUUAUGGCUAGGUAUAAGUUUUUUGAUGAGGACAAUGGUAGGUAGAUUUCUCUUUAAGCGCUAAUAAAAUCCACUUGGAUCUCUUUUUACAGCUUACUUUUUUAUACAAUUCGUAGUUGCAUGAUUCUUUAAUUACACAUUUCACUCGCAGCUACGUGCGACGUUAUUAUUUUUUGCAAAUUUCGUUUAUAAUUUAUUUCGAAAUAUAUUUUUUUUCUUCAUCUUUCCCACAACAACAUUUUCCCUUCUCGCGCUUACAAAAUAAAAUACUUUUAUUAGUCGAACGUAAAAUUUUACACUUUGUUUCGAAUUAAUUAUAUCUUUUACAUCUUUUGAAAAAAGAAAGCCAGGUGUAUAAUAAUACGCCUACCAUAAAUAUUACGGAAUACUAGCAGUCAAAAGACUUUUUUCUUUCCCCUCCCUCGAUAAAUACCCUCGUUAAAAGAAAAAUCGUACUUUUCAGGGAUUAAAAAAAAAAAAAAAAGAAAGAAGAAAAAAAGGCACCCCACAAGCGGAGGAAAACUACGACCCCUGUUGCUCUUUAUUCGAAAAUUCAGUCACCCUCCACAACCGCGCCACCCUCCAGAGAAUCAACGAUUAUUAUUAUUAUUAUUAUUAUUAUUAUUAUACGGAACUACCGGCUAAUAAUAAGCAACGCUUUCGACCCUCGGCGUGAUGUCCGCGGGGAGAGGGUUCAGAUUGCGCUACGCGUAUACCGGCUACAACACCGAGCAUCGCACGCCGCUCCGGCGCCUAAUUAAUUUUCUUUGCAACUUAACUACGCGCCACUGCGAAAACGGCGAAAAUUAUGCAACGGCCCAUCGAAACUUUCCCCGCUUUCUCAUCAUUACCUCGGACGCGCUCCUCCCCCCUCCUCCUUCUUCCUUCCACCCUCCUCCUUCCCCCAAACUUGGCGCGGAUCUUACGCGUGAAAUUUUUAACUUUUCGGGGGGGCCAGAUCUCUUCGUAUAUUCUGGAUCUCUUUACGUUAGAACGUUAAGCGUUUGAUCGGUCAGUGAUUUAAGUUCGGUUAAGUGGAACUGGUCGAAAGUUGUAGAUGGAAUGUUAAGAAAAGUUUUCCAAGUGAUCGAUCGAUCGAUCGAUAAUGUCGAAGACGAUUUAAAAUUGGGAAUAUCGAGUUGUAGUGAUUUUAUGCUACGUUGACGGAGAGUGUUUAAUAAGCUUGAUUGGAAAAUUGUGUCCGUAUGUCGGUUCGGAUACGUUAGUUCGGGUGUGAUAUGAUAUAGGGGGAUCGUAAAAUCGGUGGGGCGUUAAAAUUUACAUGUUGGACCGUCUCGACGAGAGAAUCGACAGGAAUUUAGGGAGAUAAGGGUCGUAAAUCUCGGUCGUGAGGGGAGAGGGGGAGGAUAUACGAAAUAUAUUUUACCUUUGAUUCGGCCCCCUAUUGAAAAAUGUGAAAUGCCUGCACGCGACUCUUGGCGUCGCUGCAUCAAUCGGUGCCGCUACUUGGAGCUUUGAUUUAGAGUCUCCAUGUAUCGCGGAGAUACUGUAUCAAUUUACAGUAUCUCUGUGCAAAUAUCGCACAUCGUAUGCGAGGAGAAAGCACAUAAAUUUGGAGAUUUGCACGUGCGCAUCAUACUAUUUAUCCUAAAAAUUAAAAUUAAAAAUUGUCUCAAGGAAAAAUCAUUCCAUCCCGCGCGAAUAUCCUUUUCGAAAACAUCGAAAAAGUAUUAUUUUAAAUACGUUUUAUACAUUCUGUUGUCACGACACAUUUAAUUAUCGCAAAGAUAAGCCAACGUUUCACAAUCUAAACGUUCCUCUUCAACUCCCAUAAAUAUCGAUGGCUUUCCCUUUCCCCCUCCCCCAAAAACUCCAUACACCUGUUCGAAAGAAAAAAGAUAGGGUAUCGUGUAUUCGCACCGUAGUCAAAGAUAAUUUCUUCACAAACCUUGGAUCCAACGAAACGUAACUUUUCUCUUCCCCACAAUCGUUGGCCAUCUUUCGGUCCCAACGAUGAGCAGCUGCGCCCUUCGAAACACCCGUGACUAACGAUGUUUUUCUUUUUUAUAUAUAUAUAUAUAUGUUAUCCCUAGAAAGGAACGUGUUCUCCAAAAUAGUGAGAGAACCAGACGUGUCCACGGAUCCGUAUCUCGCGCGCCAAUUAAUUCUCCCUUCCAUCCGUAUCCAACGUUUUUCCAACGUUUCCUUCGCGUUCCUCUAUCCACCCCGUAGCCGAAGGACAUGUUCACGGGCAAGAAAACGACACACGUUCUCGCGUACACAUUUUUGUGCCCCCGCGAUGGAAACGAUUUAUCGAGCCAGGACACGAGGAACCGGCUAACGACCACGUAUCCCCCGAACAAAACGACCGACGAAUAUCUAUUAGCCCGGGGACAAUGCUCCGCCGCUAAUUACCACCAGCUGCUGAGCCAGCGAUCAAUUUUCGACCGGUGACUGACUUAUCGCGUUUUUCUUUUCUACUAAUAAGGGUGCUCUUAUACAGGGUGUUAAUUCUUUUUUUUUUUUGAAGAGAAAUUUGCUGUGUAAAAAUUUCAGGUUCGUUUAUUAUAUUGCAGAGUUCUUAACAAUUAUUCGAAUAAUAAAGGGUAAAGAACAAGUUUUGAGAAAGAAAAAUAUGAGUAUAUAAUUGAAGAAUUUGAAUAGAAACCUGAUUUUCGAUUAAAUUUAUCAUGAAUAAAGGUGAAUCGAAAAUUUUCGAAUAUCAAUUUAUAUUUUAAUUUGUAAUAUCGAAAUGUUCCAAAUGUUCCAUGAAUGUAUUAACACCCUGUAUAUAAGGAUGGACAACCUUUCGGUUCUCGAGAGAAAUCCAUUUCCUACCCUUGAAGAUGGCCGACCAACCCAUGUGUCGGCCAAUUCUUCGACGUUGUUUCGACCGACCCACUUAAUUACCAGAACGGCGACAGAUAUCCUGAGUCGAGGAAUAUUUCACAAGACCCUGCUGUGGCUUUCUUAGAAGAAAGAGAAAACGAGAAAAUUCCACAGACGCGUAUCUCUUCCGCGUUUGUUUUUUUUUUUUUAUUCUUCUACAUUCUAUGAUUUCUUUCGAAACUGAUUCGAUGUAUUUAAAAUCUACAUACCACACAUUAUCCAUUAUAAAACGUCCCUUCUUUAAUAAUAUGUGAGAUUAAUUUAUAUAAUUCUUUCCUACAAAUUGUGGACACAUUUCGCUAAUAUUUCUAAAAAUAUCCCUAAGACAGUAAUUUUUUAGAACUAGUGCUAAAUUUUCUAAAAGAAAAUCAAAGAUUUGAUUCACCAUUUCUUUUUCUUUCUUGCCAAGAUUUCUUAUCAAGUUUCAAAGUGAAAAAUCACAGAGUGCGUAUUAUUAUCUCGCUUACGAUUGAAAGAAAAGGGAAUUCUCCUGCUACAAUCGAGGAUAAUUCAUUCCACCCCCGUUCGAGGAAUACAACCGAGGAACUCGUUAACAAAGGGAUCGGUGUGUUUGCGGGACGAUUGAUCGAUAGGACAGUUAAAAAAAAACGAUGGUUUUAUUCUGGGAAUGGGUUGAUUGUGUUAAAUAAAACGCGAAUUGUUGUUCGUUGUCCUACGAUUUAUCGACGGUUUGACAAUAAAGCAUUUUAUAAUCUAGAUCGAAAAUGAAAUAAUGUAGCGUGAAUGAACGCGUUGAAGGAACGCGCGCAAUUAUUAUCGUAUUUUCUGGCUGGCCGUUCGUCAUUUCGAGGAUGACCAGUUUUUUUUCUUUUUUUAUUUCCCUUCUUUAUGAAAUCGAACGGCAAUUUUUAAUUUUUAUAAUAUCGAGAACGGAACGCAAUCGCCCAUCAAAGCAUUCGGCAAUGGGCCCGUUUUUAUUAAACAAAAUACGGUAUGGAUAGAAGCUUGUGGAUCGCGCGGCUUUAACCCGUUUCAUCUGUCGUUGAUCGCGCGACAAAGAGAUACGACAGAUUCUUUAAAUAUUUUCGAACAGUCGAAAACAAGGCUGAUCCCAUGUGUAAAAUGUGGAACGUUUAUCGGUCCGGUUGUUUUGACACGUCGUCGGUCGUCGAUCGUCCGAGUUUUCUACCGGAAUUCUUUUUUUUUUUUUUUCCUCCUACCAUUUCCCCCGACCCGUUAAUAUAUAAAUUACUUUUAUGCAAAAUUUAUUUAUCCAUUGUGAAACUUUUUGGAAACGUGGAAUAUUUAUAGAACGUUAUAUAAAAAUUGUUUCAAAAUUUUCGCGAUUUUUAAUCACGAUACGGGGUAGAAAAUAAAAAAGGGGUAGAAAAUACGCUUUAAUAAUUUCCCCGCAGAGGGAAACAAAUAUGAGUUCCCUUACGAGUGAAAUCACGAGAAACCAUCCCUUCCCCCCAAAUUUGAAAGCUCGAACCGGUAAAAGCCGGAAAAAUCGAUAUCGCGGACAUUAAACGUACUUCAUCCGUGCACGCUUUACAUUCCACUUUUCGAAAAAACGCGUCGCGAAAUUCGAGAGAAAUUAGAGAUGAAAAAAAAAUGAGAAGAAUAAAUAAAUAAAAAAUUAUAUAUAUAUAUAUUUUUUCCCACGAUCCAAUGGGAUAAACCAAACGUUCGAAGGCCUCGAUCCGUCGAAAACGGCAGUUUGAACUCCAGUUCGAAAUCACGGCAUUAAUCGCGACACACGAGGCUCUUUAUUGCCACGAGAGUUAUCGCUAAUCGAGCAAUAAAUUCCGGGGGACGGCCUGUGAAAAACGGAUUUCCCGGCCGCUAUUACGCCGGAAAUUCAAUAAACCGGUGGACGCGGAAAGAAAUCCCGGCUCGCGAUCGUGGAGAGAGAGAGUGGCGACGAGUUGCCAACCACCACCACCCUUCAACCACCCCUUUCUUCUUCUGUACACGAGUCGGCUCGACGUCUAAUUAAUUUUCUUUGUAACUCGAUUCUCCCUCCGCAAUCGUCAAGGUGGCGAAAAGGUGGUGUUCCCUCCCGCCACCCUUCUCGUUCCGCGACACUGAAGGGGUGGGUGAGGGAAAGAGAGAGAGAGAGAGAGAGAGAGAGAGCGAAAGAAAAAGGAAGGAAGAAGGGAACUUUCGCCACUGUCGUAUUGCGGAUUUAAUAAAGAGCCGGGCUGCGAAGUUCCCCCCCCCCGAAAAACUGGACUGAGAGUGAGGAGGGAUCGGGGACAGGAAAGAAUUCCCUUUCUCGUAAGUAAUCAACGCCGAUUUUCCUUCUCCGUCGCGAACUUCCACGUCAGGAUUGUCCUUUCGAACCCGGGCCGAGGAUCCUUGUUGCUGGUUAACCGUUGAACGAAGCUCAGAACAGAAAGAUGCUGGUUGUUGAUACUUCUUUCCUCACCGAGAGAUCCCUUUGGAACGUUGGCAGAAGAGGGAGAGAGAUUGAUUCGCAGUUUAACGUUUUAAAGCUUUGCGAAUACGCACGGAAAAUACUCUCUCGAGUCCCUUUCUUCCGGGAUACUCGCUUUUUCGAGCGAGUCCUCCCUCUCUCCCUGGGGGCCGUGGUCGAUGGUCGAUCGACGGAGAGUUCAAGGAAAAAAAGAGACGAGGAUCUCUCCCCUCCCCUCUCCCCUCCCCACCCGGUGAGAGCGGCGAGCGGUGGGGAAGAAAACGAGGAGAUCGCGUGAAGCGAUGCCAGAAUACGAGCGGCAGCUGCAACGGAGGGCCAAGCGGCAUUUUGGAACAAUGUCACCCCGUGUCCUCGAGAGUUGGGUAACCUCUCUCGCCCCAGGAAAUCGUGCGACCGUUUCCCUUCCAUCGCAAUCCUCCGUCCCGCCGUCUUCCUCGAAUCUGUCCCUUUCCUGACGUGUCGUGCACGCCCUGCCGAUACUAUCCCUCUAAUGAAAUGUGCAUCGGUGGGCGUUACCCUCGGCCAGAGCCUCUUAAAGACUUUACGUUUUACCCCGGGAUCCCGUUCGAGGUCCCGCUUUGAUAAAUUUCAAUCAACCGCUGUCGUUCCAGAUUUUCCGCCUGCAUCGCUGCAUCUGCGAUGCUCUUUCCCUCGUCGCCGAGCUCUGAGAUUUUUAGGGAGAUCGAGAAGAAGAAAUUUGAGAUUUAUUGGUAACUAAUUUUAUUGCCAAUCGAAGCAUUUAUCGUCUAACCACGACGAUAUUAGACUCGUUUGGAUUCUUGGAAUGAGAAUAUAAACAUUUUUCUAUCGACCUCCUUUCUAUCGUAUCGUGUUCUCCUAAUACGAAAUCGCAUUUUUCGACAAAAAUUUUUCUUUUUUCAGGGAAUUUCUAUAUCUUUUUUCUUAAAUCUCGUUUAUUCUUCGUAAAAAUUCUUCGAAUAAAAGUUGAACAGUUUCGAAAGGGUUACAUUCUGGCCUCUUCAAUGUUUUAAUAAGUAAGCUGAUUAAAAGCUUAUCAACUUCAAUUUUAUUUUUUAAAUAGCAUCAUACAUUUUUUAAGGCACCAAUCUAUGCAUCUUAAUAUUUUCUAUAAAAAUGUAUAAGGCCAUUUAUAGUAAAAAAUCAUUAGUUUAAAAGAUAUUUAAUUAAAUUUAAUUAUUUUUUAUACUGUUUUUUAUAACUUUCUUGUUAUGUACGCCUUAAUUUUUUUUUAUAGAGAAUGAUAAGAUAUCUCGACUGGAGUAUUAAAAAAUGUAUAUUUCUAUUUAAGAAAACAAUAUUCACUUUUAUAAAUGCUUCUUAUAUAUGUAAAAAAGUAAAUAGCCCCUCUCGAAACCAUUUAACUUUUAUUUUAAAGAUUUUUUAAUAUUAUUUUAAUAUUGUAUUAUUUUAAUAAUUACUUUAUUAUUACUUUAUUAUUAUUCAUUAUUACUAAAAGCAAAUAAAAUUCUAAAUAAUACAGU